GUCUGGAGUGAACCAAGGGCUAUAUCUGUUCCUGGUUCUACAUUUUUUGAAUGGGGCAUGUUUAUUUAAGAUGGUGAGGAAAGCACUUUUAAAGAACAACCAGGCAUCCUCUACUGACGGAAUGAGGUCAAUAUCCUUCCAGGAUACCCAGGCCAGGUCGAUUAGAAAGGCCUGCUCGCUGAAGUGUUUUAGGGAGCAUUUGACAGUGAUGAGGGGUGGUCGCUUGACCGCAGACAUUACGGACACAGGCAAUGAUCUCUGAGAUCCUGGUUGAAGACAGCAGAGGUGUAUUUGGAGGGCAGGUUGGUUAGGAUGAUAUCUAUGAGGGUGCCCGUGUUUACGGAUUUGGGGUUGUACCUGGUGGGUUCAUUGAUAAUUUGUGUGAGGUUGAGGGCAUCAAGCUUAGAUUGUAGGAUGGCCGGGGUGUUAAGCAUGUCCCAGUUUAGGUCACCUAACAGCACGAGCUCUGAAGAUAGAUGGGGGGUAAUCAAUUCGCAUAUGGUAUCCAGGGCACAGCUGGGGGCAGGUGGUGGUCUAUAGCAAGCGACAACGGUAAGAGACUUGUUUCUGGAGAGGUGGAUUUUUAAAAGUAGAAGCUCAAAUUGCUUGGGCACAGACCUGGAUAGUAAGACAUAACUCUGCAGGCUAUCCCUGCAGUAGAUUGCAACUCCGCCCAAACAUUGAACUCCGUUCAAUGAUGAUUCCAUUUUUUGAUCAGACUUUGACUCACGUUGGUUGAGCACUCUCCACUUCUUUCCAUUAUCAAUAUUUAUUUAGUAAGCUAUUUAAGUCAACAGUCACGUGAUUCUCCACCCGUGUAGGUAGCCUUCUCUAUUUCAAUGAGACUGCACAUACUAGGUGCACUUGAACUCUCACGCCCAACUAGGAGACGUAGGCUACUGAAGUUGAAGCAGCGACUUCUGAGUGUUUGAAUAACGUGAAACAGAUGUGUUUUUAAUACAAUAGCUAGGCUAAAACAUGCAAAGCAGAAAGAGGACCAUUUCUAAAUAAUCUGAGGUACAACAGAAGUACAAUAUUUUCAUCUGUCGGAACCUGCUGAGUGACUCUAGUGCAGAGUCAGUACACAACACAGUGCUCAGGAGGAUCAGAUGGUGACAGGGGUCUCAGCAGGGUCAGUUAGCCACGGAAGAGCAGUCUGUGACGGAGCUGAGGGGAAUUUUUGCAGAUACAACGCUUUCUCUCUGUGCUGCAAACACUGGACAAGCGGGAUGCUAUUCUAAGGCAGUCUGACAAACCUCCAAAGUUGAUUUACAAACUGUAUCAAGGGUUGAUAGAAGCUUUUCCCGAUGACACAAAAUAUGUAAAACAAAAAUGUAAAGUAAUGACCUACCUAAAGUACAGAGAGAUCCUCAUGAGAGAGCUGCUGGAGGAGCACCACACCCCUCUGCGCCGAUCCACUGGGGGUCGUCCUGCUGCGGACAAUCCCCUACGCAUCACUGUACGGCCUUUUCCCUGCAAAGUCCCUCAAACUACUUCUCAAGGUAGUCACACACGGAGGCACUGCAAAGUCUGCCUGUCUGGCACCAGGAGAAGGAAGCAGAGGAGGUUGACAAAGUACAUGUGGGUUACAAGCUAAACACCUCUGUGUUUCACCAUGCUUCGGGGAGUAUCAUAUGCUCAAGCACUAUUGAGCACAUCUGCAGCAAUUACUGACUGACCUGACAGGUGGAUUGACAGGUGACCUGCCAUGAUACUAUGCCUUUAGAGGUGGGGG
rnacentral:lncRNA from 1 species